ACGUCCUACGGGUAGGCAGCAGUCGGGGAAUAUUUGCACAAUGGGCGCAAGCCUGAUGCAGCCAUGCCGCGUGUGUGAAGAAGGCCUUCGGGUUGUAAAGCACUUUCAGUCGUGAGGAAGGUAGUGUAGUUAAUAGCUCGAUUAUUUGACGUUAGCGACAGAAGAAGCACCGGCUAACUCCGUGCCAGCAGCCGCGGUAAUACGGAGGGUGCGAGCGUUAAUCGGAAUUACUGGGCGUAAAGCGCAUGCAGGUGGUUUGUUAAGUCAGAUGUGAAAGCCCGGGGCUCAACCUCGGAAUUGCAUUUGAAACUGGCAGACUAGAGUACUGUAGAGGGGGUAGAAUUCAGGUGUAGCGGUGAAAUGCGUAGAGAUCUGAAGGAAUACCGGUGGCGAAGGCGGCCCCCUGGACAGAUACUGACACUCAGAUGCGAAAGCGUGGGGAGCAAAACAGGAUUAGAUACCCUGGUAGCUACGAGU
rnacentral:rRNA from 1 species